GUCUAGGGCCAUGCCACCCUGACCAUGCCCGAUCCCAUCUGAUCUCAGAAGCUAAGCAAGGUGUGGCCUGGUUAGUGCUUGGAUGGGAGACCACCUAGGAAGACCAAGUGCUGUAGGUG
ensembl:rRNA 5S_rRNA 5S ribosomal RNA